GCAUCCCUGAUCAUUGUUAUGUCGCUGUCAUGUCAGCAUCCAUCAUUCAGUCUUCAGUUUUAUUAAUUUAUUCCGCGGCUUUAGUCUCUAGUGUUAUUGUGUUGCUUGUCUCUGUUUAUCGGUUUUGAUCGUUUUGAUUGAGUGUUCACGAGUGAGCAAAUUACUUCUGCGUGGUACAAACCGUCGAAGCUAGCGGUCACUGUGGUUCCGUAGAAUUCAGGAAAGACAGCUACCUCAAUUUAAGAAUUUGGCUUUUAUCAUUUGCUAGAACAUAACGGAACUUCAAUGAAAUUUACACCAAAGGAAGAUAGUGCAUUUGACCGCGAUGAGUAGUUGCUGGAGGAGUGAUUACUGAUGAUGCGGGAGGAGAGGAUGGAAAUAUGUAGCUACAACAAAACGACAACACAGAAAAAGAAAGGUGUAAAAGAUUGUGUAUUAGGCCACUUUCUGCAUAGUUUUAAGUUAUAUAUAUUGUUUAUUCAAAAGCAAGCUUAAUCUGUAAUCUGUAAAUCUGUAUUAGGACAUAAAAAAAGAUUCAACAUUAUGUAUUCCUACUGAACGUAUGAAAAUAGAAUUAUUUUGAUUUAAUAAAAGGCACUUUUUCAUCACACAUCAAUAAAUUUUUAA